rnacentral:rRNA from 1 species
UACAGAGGUGGCAAGCGUUGUUCGGAAUUACUGGGCGUAAAGGGCGCGUAGGCGGCCGGGUUGGUCGUGGGUGAAAUCCCCCAGCUUAACUGGGGAACUGCCUACGAUACUGCCUGGCUCGAGGGAGGAAGGGGCGGUCGGAACUGUCGGUGGAGCGGUGAAAUGCGUUGAUAUCGGAAGGAACGCCGGUGGCGAAAGCGGUCCGCUGGGUCCCUACUGACGCUGAGGCGCGAAAGCCAGGGGAGCAAACGGG